AUGAACACUUCUCCAGCUCUAGUGACUGUGAUCCUGCUGUUCAUACUAGGGAAUACUGAUGGAGACUCAGUGACCCAGAAGCAAGGUCAAGUGAUUCUCUCGGAAGAUGACUUUCUAUUUAUAAACUGCACUUAUUCAACCACAUCAUACCCAACUCUUUUCUGGUAUGUCCAAUAUCCUGGAGAAGGGCCAGAUCUGCUUUUGAAAGUCACAACAGCCAACAACAAGGGAAGCAGCAGAGGUUUUGAAGCUACAUAUGAUGGAGAAUCCACUUCCUUCCACUUGCAGAAAGCCUCAGUCCAAGAGUCAGACUCGGCUGUGUACUACUGUGCUCUGAGUGACACAGUGUCACAAUCUGCAGGGGGAGCUGAGCACAAGCUCUGA